GACGAACGCUGGCGGCGUGCCUAAUACAUGCAAGUAGAACGCUGAAGGAGGAGCUUGCUUCUCUGGAUGAGUUGCGAACGGGUGAGUAACGCGUAGGUAACCUGCCUGGUAGCGGGGGAUAACUAUUGGAAACGAUAGCUAAUACCGCAUAAUAGUAGAUGUUGCAUGACAUUUGCUUAAAAGGUGCAAUUGCAUCACUACCAGAUGGACCUGCGUUGUAUUAGCUAGUUGGUGGGGUAACGGCUCACCAAGGCGACGAUACAUAGCCGACCUGAGAGGGUGAUCGGCCACACUGGGACUGAGUCACGGCCCAGACUCCUACGGGAGGCAGCAGUAGGGAAUCUUCGGCAAUGGACGGAAGUCUGACCGAGCAACGCCGCGUGAGUGAAGAAGGUUUUCGGAUCGUAAAGCUCUGUUGUAAGAGAAGAACGAGUGUGAGAGUGGAAAGUUCACACUGUGACGGUAUCUUACCAGAAAGGGACGGCUAACUACGUG
rnacentral:rRNA from 1 species